rnacentral:misc_RNA from 1 species
AAGUCGUAACAAGGUUUCCGUAGGUGAACCUGCGGAAGGAUCAUUAACACGUGAUUUCUUCACGUUUUAACCAACGCAACCGUAUUCCUGUUGUCGAGGAGAGUAGUAAGCGGACGAGGGGCUUGCCUGAGAUUACUCGGCUUGCCCGCUUGCUGGGAGCCCAUCAGCAAUGAUGAGGUUCUGCUCAGUGCGACUUCAGCGUAAUGAUUUCCUAUUUCCAAUGCUUGAACCCCGGCAUGGGUAGGAAACGAAACUAUUUUACCUUUCUUUUUUCUAACUAAACCUUUGUACAGUCGUUUGAAUUCCUGGCUCUGGCUGGUCGAGUUCGACUUAUUGUCACAACAUUAAUUCGAAACAACUCGUAGCAACGGAUAUCUUGGUUCUC